rnacentral:rRNA from 1 species
UACAGAGGUCUCAAGCGUUGUUCGGAUUCCUUGGGCGUAAAGGGUGCGUAGGUGGCGCUGUAAGUCGGGUGUGAAAUUUCGGAGCUUAACUCCGAAACUGCAUUCGAUACUGCGGUGCUUGAGGACUGGAGAGGAGACUGGAAUUCAUGGUGUAGCAGUGAAAUGCGUAGAGAUCAUGAGGAAGACCAGUGGCGAAGGCGGGUCUCUGGACAGUUCCUGACACUGAGGCACGAAGGCCAGGGGAGCAAACGGG